CCUGCCCCUAGAGGCUUUGCAAGUGUGUCUGCUGUGCCACAUGUGCAUCAUAGGUGGCAGAGAGGAGAGAAGUGAUGUCUAAGUUCAGUGUUCUGACUUAUGAACAUCUGAAUUAUUAGUAACAUAACAUU
ensembl:snoRNA LOC120099486 small nucleolar RNA SNORA17